rnacentral:rRNA from 1 species
UACGUAGGUGGCAAGCGUUGUCCGGAUUUACUGGGCGUAAAGAGCGCGCAGGCGGUCGUUCAAGUCGCGUGUGAAAGCCCCCGGCUCAACUGGGGAGGGUCACGCGAUACUGAUCGACUCGAAGGCAGGAGAGGGUAGUGGAAUUCCCGGUGUAGUGGUGAAAUGCGUAGAUAUCGAGAGGAACACCUGCGGCGAAGGCGGGUCUCUGGGCCGAUACUGACGCUGAGGAGCGAAAGCGUGGGGAGCGAACAGG